rnacentral:rRNA from 1 species
AAGGGACGAUAAGACCCUAUAAAACUUUAUAUUUAUAAGGUAGUAGUUGUUUUUAUUUAAUAGUAUUAUUUUGGAAUAUUUGGUUGGGGUGACAAGGAUAAAAUAUAAAAUAACUGUCUUUUUUUUUUUACAGUUAUGUUUGGUUUAAUGAUCCUAAAAGGGAUUAAAGAUUAAGUUACUUUAGGGAUAACAGCGUAAUUUUCUUUAAGAGUUCUUAUCGACAAGAAAGUUUGCGACCUCGAUGUUGAAUUAAAAGUUCUUUAUAGAGUAGAGACUAUAGAAGAAGGUCUGUUCGACCUUUAAAGUUUUACAUGAUUUGAGUUCAGACCGGUGUAAGCCAGGUUGG